UGUUUUUGGAACAAUGGUAUUGUUAGAUUGAGUUGACGUUGCUAGUGGGACAGCUUUGGGUGAGGAACAGGAAUUGACGUGUGUUCUCUCCGAUGUUACGA